CCUACGGGUGGCAGCAGUGGGGAAUAUUGGGCAAUGGGCGCAAGCCUGACCCAGCAACGCCGCGUGAAGGAAGAAGGCUUUCGGGUUGGAAACUUCUUUUAUCAGGGACGAAGCAAGUGACGGUACCUGAUGAAUAAGCCACGGCUAACUACGUGCCAGCAGCAGCGGUAAUACGGAGGUGGCGAGCGUUAUCCGGAUUUACUGGGUGUAAAGGGCGUGUAGGCGGGAGUGCAAGUCAGAUGUGAAAACUAUGGGCUCAACCCAUAGACUGCAUUUGAAACUGUAAUUCUUGAGUGCUGGAGAGGCAAGCGGAAUUCCGUGUGUAGCGGUGAAAUGCUUAGAUAUACGGAGGAACACCAGUGGCGAAGGCGGAUUGCUGGACUGUAACUGACGCUGAGGCGCGAAAGCGUGGGGAGCAAACAGGAUUAGAUACCCGAGUAGUC
rnacentral:rRNA from 1 species